rnacentral:ncRNA from 2 species
UUCUGCCUAAGAAUCGAUGAAAUAUAUUCUGUAUAUGGGUACCUGGAAUAUAUCGAGAUAUUGGUACAACCGGCUUUUUAAA